GCCCGGGUGGUGAAACUGGUAGACACAAGGGACUUAAAAUCCCUCGCCGGGUCAUUCCGGCAUGCCGGUUCGAGUCCGGCCCCGGGCACCA
rnacentral:tRNA from 1 species